rnacentral:rRNA from 1 species
UACGUAGGGGGCUAGCGUUGUCCGGAUUUAUUGGGCGUAAAGAGCUCGUAGGCGGUGUGUCACGUCGGCCGUGAAAACCUGCAGCUUAACUGUGGGCGUGCGGUCGAUACGGGCAUCACUGGAGUUCGGCAGGGGAGACUGGAAUUCCUGGUGUAGCGGUGAAAUGCGCAGAUAUCUGGAGGAAUACCGGUGGCGAAGGCGGCAUCCUGGACCGACAUUGACGCUGAGGAGCGAAAGCUAGGGGAGCAAACGGG